rnacentral:rRNA from 1 species
ACGCACGCUGGCGGCGUGCCUCAUACAUGCCAGUUGAGCGCUGAAGGUUGGUACUUGUACCAACUGGAUGAGCAGCGAACGGGUGAGUAACGCGUGGGGAAUCUGCCUUUGAGCGGGGGACAACAUUUGGAAACGAAUGCUAAUACCGCAUAAAAACUUUAAACACAAGUUUUAAGUUUGAAAGAUGCAAUUGCAUCACUCAAAGAUGAUCCCGCGUUGUAUUAGCUAGUUGGUGAGGUAAAGGCUCACCAAGGCGAUGAUACAUAGCCGACCUGAGAGGGUGAUCGGCCACAUUGGGACUGAGACACGGCCCAAACUCCUACGGGAGGCGGCAGUAGGGAAUCUUCGGCAAUGGACGAAAGUCUGACCGAGCAACGCCGCGUGAGUGAAGAAGGUUUUCGGAUCGUAAAACUCUGUUGGUAGAGAAGAACGUUGGUGAGAGUGGAAAGCUCAUCAAGUGACGGUAACUACCCAGAAAGGGACGGCUAACUACGUG